rnacentral:misc_RNA from 2 species
GUGAAAUUUUGAACUGUCGCAUGUUGUGCUGGCCUUUCCGAGGCACUGUGCACGCUUGUUGACUUUCAUCCAACACCCUUGUGAACCAUUUGACCCUGCGUUGGCUUCGGCUGACACUGGGGAUUUCUUACACCAAACCCGCAUGUAAUGAAAAACUUAUAUUUUGUGCGCAAGCACGUAAAUGUA